rnacentral:tRNA from 1 species
GUAUAGCUCAGUUGGUAGAGUGCUUGCCUUGUAUCUGCAAGGUCCUGGGUUCAAUCCCCAGUAAAACA